rnacentral:rRNA from 1 species
UACAGGGGGUGCAAACGUUGCUCGGAAUCAUUGGGCGUAAAGCGCACGUAGGCGGUUCGUUAUGUCGGAUGUGAAAGCCCUUGGCUUAACCGAGGAAGUGCAUCCGAAACUGGCGAGCUAGAGUACGAAAGAGGAUGGCGGAAUUCCCGGUGUAGAGGUGAAAUUCGUAGAUAUCGGGAGGAACACCGGUGGCGAAGGCGGCGAUCUGGGUCGAUACUGACGCUGAGGUGCGAAAGCGUGGG